CUUUUACAAUGAAGAGUUUGAUCCUGGCUCAGGAUGAACGCUAGCUACAGGCUUAACACAUGCAAGUCGAGGGGCAGCAGGAUCUAGCAAUAGAUUGCUGG
rnacentral:rRNA from 1 species